GCGAAAAAAUAUGAGCAAGUCUGCAAAUAUAUCUCUGCAAAUAUAUCACUACAGGAUACUAAGAACUUGCUUAUUAGAUGCUGGUUAUCUAAUGUUUAUUAAUCGACAAGCGGUGUUUUACUUUGGACUUUUUGUGUACUGCUAAAUUUAAAAUCAACAGAAACGGAUUUUAAUAAUGAAAAUAAGGUUUUAAUAUACCAAGCGCAAAUACGUAAAAUCGGAACGAAAGGAUAUUCGACGAGGAUACAGUCAUAUACGGAUUUUCUAUCCGCGCUGUCGUUUGCUUGCAGAACCAGGUUGAAACUGUCUCAGAGCGCCUUACAACUGGGUCUGAGACACGAAAGUCACGUGCGGGAUCACGUCGUCUGCUAUUCCGGUGGACCGCAGAAUGCACCUGGUGGGCAAGGUGGCGUUGGUGACGGGCGGUGCCUCGGGAAUGGGGCGUGGCUUCGCUGAGGCGCUUCUAAAAGCUGCAGCUAAGAAGGGGACCCUACGUGGACUGCGACUCGCCAUGUACUACCUCAGUGUGGAUCACGAAGGCCGCGGGGGGCUGCAUUGUCAACGUGGCCAGCAUGGCGGGUUUGAAUUCGAACCCAUUCUCGCCUGUGUACGGCUGCACGAAGGCAGGAAUCAUUCACGUUACGCGAUGUUAUGCAGUAUCCGAGGCGGCCAAGAAGUCAAACAUCCGACUCAACGUGCUGUGUCCGGCGUUCGUAGACACGCCCAUGUUUAGACGGAUGGCGGAAAGGACGCUUCCCAGACUAUCGGCGGGGACCAGACAGCGUUGAACGCGUUCAUUGAGCGCAUUUGAGUACUCAGCACAGAAGAUGUGUCGGCGGCAUUAAUUGACAUUCUCACGGAUGAAACGAGAAACGGGUUGAUUUUGCAUUGAACGCGAAGAACUUUUACAGCCCGCUUACCGUACAAGACGUGUAACAUAAUUUCACGAUCGUGUAACGGAACAAAUCGCAUACUAAACAGCGGCAGUGCAAUCGAGCAGCGGAUUUACGUACCGUUUAUGAGACAGAACCUAUUGUUGCGUACAACUGCAAAGUGGACGUGUAACAGAACAAAUGAGAUAAGAAGGCAAUUGAAAACCGGACGUAUUCAAAACAUCGGUUCUACAGUCGUUGGGGAAUAUAAUAACAUUCUGCCAUUGCUGUUAAUUUGUACAUGUGUAUAACAUUCGUGUACAGGGGAAGUCAUUCAACUUAAGCGAAUAAUGACAGCUCGCAUAUGAUGACCGUUAUGACCGCGAAAUCCAAGAUGGCGUCCAUAAAACCAGGUCACAACAUGCACUCAAAUCCAAAAACAGAAACUUGACAAGUAGGCGAGAAGGUUGAGAAGGAUCCACAUUGUUAAAGUAUUACUAUCAAUAUCUCGUUAAUUGAAAGUAAAAGCACACACUAUGUGCCAACCGGCAGGGCUGAAUAAAAUACGAGUGUUAGUUUUUAAUAUAUGAUAUAUUGUAUGUAGCCUUUGACCAUUAUUUGUGUGUUUACAGAGUUCAUGAAUUCAUAUUGUACAGAAAGAACAUAGCGUUUUAUGAAAAUCUACCGGUAUGUGCAUGUAAAAUGUAUUGAACAAAACAUAACAA